CCUACGGGGGACAGCAGUGGGGAAUAUUGGGCAAUGGGCGCAAGCCUGACCCAGCAACGCCGCGUGAAGGAAGAAGGCUGUCGGGUUGUAAACUUCUUUUCUGAGGGACGAAGAAAGUGACGGUACCUCAGGAAUAAGCCACGGCUAACUACGGGCCAGCAGCCGCGGAAAUACGUAGGGGGCAAGCGAAAUCCGGAGAGAUGGGGUGAAAAGGGCGUGUAGGCGGGAAAGCAAGUCAGAUGUGAAAACUCAGGGCUCAACCCUGAGCCUGCAUUUGAAACUGUUUUUCUUGAGUGCUGGAUAGGCAAUCGGACUUCCGUGUGUAGCGGUGACUUGCGUAGAUAUAC
rnacentral:rRNA from 1 species